UGGUGUUCCUAUGACUGUUGCCCGGGU
rnacentral:piRNA from 1 species